rnacentral:lncRNA from 10 species
GGCAAGGCGGGAGGAGCGCGGACCCAAGAUCGGCUACGCUGCGUCUGCUCAGGCUGCGAGUUCCCGGCUCUGGGGACUCACCUUGCGGAGCUUACCCAGGCGGACUCUCCGCAGCCCCUGAUGGGUGUGUGUGUCAGACCGUUUACUAAACACCAGGACUGUUGUAGGCGACGCAGCCGUGUUGAACCAUGAAAGGACCUCAGGAAUGAAACCCACACACAGCAAAGCAACAAAGUGAAAGAAGCGUGGAUUCCUAAUGCAGGAGGCACUGAACCAAUCAAUACCCACUGCCCUCCAGACCUCCACAUGAAAGAAAAAAACUGCUGUCCUGGGAAGAAGACACUCCCCAGAUGCCAGCAACUUGAUAUUGGACUUCCUGCCUUUAGAAAGAUUCCUUUAAGCCUCUCUGAAACUUGACCCUCUGGCAGGAACAGGUGCCAUUACAUACAGACACUCUCUCUCUUCCAAAUUCACCCUGUCAUAUCAAAGGGAAAACUGAAGUGGUCCACUGUAGACCUGACAGAUGAUCACAAACAGGAAACCAGCAAUCAGAAGUGCCUACUGAGCUCCCUACCCUGACCAUCACCUACAGCUACAUUUUACAGAUACAAAAUCAUUGUUUGUUCAACUUUCAUAUCAAAGGAUGCUAUUAGUUCAUUUCCAAAGGUGGGAAAAUGUUUCAACUUACUUUAUUACUUGUCUGCUACUUACUAUUUUCCCUCCGUUUGCCUGCCUGACUUCUUUUAACUCUUCACUCAACAAAUAUCUACUGACUACUGAGCACUUGCCAAGUGCUAGGCCAGAGCUGGAUGCUGUACUACGGGCAGAUGAAGUGCUAUGGGCAUCCAGAGGUGGAAGAAGAGGGUAUAGCGAAAGGGGAGAAAAGGCUGCAACAAUAUUCACUGAGCCCUGUGCUCCCAGGUCAUCACAUAGACUAUGUCAUUAUUCCUCCUAACCACCCACAUGAGUAAAUAGGGGCUAUUACUGAAGAAACAGAGGCUUACAAAGGUUGAGCAACUUGCCCAAGGUCAUCUAUCACAAGACACUACAAGUCAGACUGCUGAAGAGGGAGUUUCUGCUGAGAAGCUGAAGUGGGCAGCUCAUAUUGGAUAUGAAGGCUUCAAAGGAAUCUAAAUCCUAAUGAUCCCUCUAGAGCCAACAUGCAGCACCAGUUUUCUCUUCCACAUUUGAACUGCUCAUCCACUUCCGGCUCCAAGACCUCACUCUCCAUCUAAACUAGUCCCACGCCAUCCAUAUCUUUCUCCACUAACGCCACCCAAUCACAACCCCACAGCCUCUUAGUCAUGAGUCAUUUUUUAAAAACUGCAAACCAUGUAAUGAGCCAUGGCAAUAUGCAACCCUAAACCUCAACACGUGUUUUCCACAACAAGGCCACAGGUGGCAGAAGCGAGCCUAAGGCCGUAGGACACUAAGGCAGGACUCUCUGGCUUGAGCUUUCCAAAAAGGGAGGUGAGAGAAGGUCUACCUGCGGGAAGUCAUGCUGAAGGCCUGAGGCUGAGUCAAAGAAGGAGCCCCCUGGAGGCUCUGCAGUUCCUGGACUUCAGGUAGAGGAACUCUGCCAUGAACACCUCUGGAAUCGUGUCAUUUUGGGACAAUUAGAGAAUAUCAGUUUUCAGACUGAGUUCUAUGGGAAGGUGCCUGCACAACAAAGGAGAGACGGAAUGGACUUCAGGUCUUCCAAAAUACCCCUCAUGUUCACCAAGUUGCUCUCUGCUCUAAGAUACCAGAUGAGGGGGCCAGUGGGGACUGAAACCCAGUCCCCAGUCUGCUGGCCAAUCCCUUUGCCUGUGAGGCUGCUCUGUCCUACCAGAGAGGGCACUUUUCAUAAUUUGCACCAAGUACAGAAUAGGAUAGUGUAGCUUUACCCUUCUCCCUACCAUCAACCACAGACACAUCAACACAUGCACACAUACAGCCACACAAAUAUACCUACAGGCAUACACAUACAACACAGGCACAUACAUGUUUGCACAAAGUCACAUGUAGACACAAACGCAGAGCACACAGACACAAACACAGGCACAAACCCAUACUUACACUACACACACACACAAACACACACAGACACACAAAUGCAAAUUAAGCCACAAUGUAGCACAUAGAGAUAUAGACACAGACGCAAAUACAGUCACAUAGAGAUAUAGACACACACUUAUACACACAUAUAUGUAAAUAUACAGUCUCAUUCACUUUAUACCACACAUGUAUAAACAUACACAAUUGUAUGUAGACACACAUACACAUAGGUACUCAGACCGCAUAGAUACAUAUGUACACACAUACAAAUAUAUGCACAUACACAGAUAUAUAUAUACACACAUGCAUCUUUAACCAGAACAACUUUACUUUUGUCAGUUUUAUAUGACAGAGUCUUUAAAAAAAGAUUUCAUCUGGCUUGUGUUCUACUAUUAAAAGAGAAAAUGAAUUUGCUUGU